GCCACCCUAGCUCAGUUGGUAGAGCACACCCUUGGUAAGGGUGAGGUCGUGGGUUCGAGUCCCAUGGGUGGCU
rnacentral:tRNA from 3 species